rnacentral:rRNA from 1 species
GAUCAUGGCUCAGAUUGAACGCUGGCGGCAGGCCUAACACAUGCAAGUCGAACGGUAACAGGAAGAAGCUUGCUUCUUUGCUGACGAGUGGCGGACGGGUGAGUAAUGUCUGGGAAACUGCCUGAUGGAGGGGGGAUAACUACUGGAAACGGUAGCUAAUACCGCAUAACGUCGCAAGGACCAAAGAGGGGGGACCUUCGGGCCUCUUGCCAUCGGAUGUGCCCAGAUGGGGAUUAGCUAGUAGGUGGGG